UUGCACGCUGGCGGCAUGCUUUACACCUGCAAGUCGAACGGUAACAGGCCUUCGGGUGCUGACGAGUGGCGAACGGGUGAGUAAUGCAUCGGAACGUACCCAGAGGUGGGGGAUAACGCAGCGAAAGCUGUGCUAAUACUGCAUGUGAUCUGAGGAUGAAAGCGGGGGACCGAGCAGCAAUGUUUGGCCUCGCGCCUUUGGAGCGGCCGAUGUCGGAUUAGCUAGUUGGUGGGGUAAAGGCCUACCAAGGCGACGAUCCGUAGCUGGUCUGAGAGGACGACCAGCCACACUGGGACUGAGACACGGCCCAGACUCCUACGGGAGGCAGCAGUGGGGAAUUUUGGACAAUGGGCGCAAGCCUGAUCCAGCAAUGCCGCGUGCGGGAAGAAGGCCUUCGGGUUGUAAACCGCUUUUGGCAGGAACGAAACGGUGUCCGCUAAUACCGGGCGCUAAUGACGGUACCUGCAGAAUAAGCACCGGCUAACUACGUG
rnacentral:rRNA from 1 species